rnacentral:rRNA from 1 species
UGAGAUUUAACGAAAGUGGCGAACGGGUGAGUAACACGUGAGCAACCUGCCUUACACAGGGGGAUAGCCAUUGGAAACGGUGAUUAAUACCCCAUAAGACCACAAUACCGCAUGGUAAAAGGGUAAAAGGGAUACCGGUGUAAGAUGGGCUCGCGUCUGAUUAGCUAGUUGGUGGGGUAAAGGCCUACCAAGGCGACGAUCAGUAGCCGGUCUGAGAGGAUGAACGGCCACAUUGGAACUGAGACACGGUCCAAACUCCUACGGGAGGCAGCAGGA